AUAUUGAGGAAGCUGUUUCAGGUCGAACACCAUCCUACAGAGAUCGACGUAUGGGUUAAUUCCUAGGUAUCUACAGGCUAUAAAGAAAUAGGUAAGCAUCCUCCACCCAUUUGGCACGAGCUGUCCAGGGCUCAUAUUAUGCUCGACCAAUAAGGCCACAAAAAAGGGAUGCAGAGGCCAUCGAAAUCCCCCCUUUAGUGAGUCCCUAAAAAUCACGAACUCUCCAUCCCGAGCAAAGGCCAUCCUAUCCUCUACCCCCGGUGUCCUAACGUCGCAUUUGGGCAUGAGCCCAUGCUCCCUAGCCGUCGAUAUUGCUAGAUGUUCUUUAAAUUUACAGGGGACCUCGGGAUACCUAAAAGGGGUCGGGAUACUUUGUGCCCGAGGUUGGGCAUUAAUUGGGACAG
rnacentral:lncRNA from 1 species